UCCCCAGUGGCUCAGAGGUUAAAGUGUCUGCCUCCAAUGCAGGAGACCCAGGUUCGAUCCCUGGAUCAGGAA
rnacentral:tRNA from 1 species